ensembl:miRNA
CUCUAGAGGAAAGCGCUUACUGUUGGCUAAAAAAAUAGGAAGCGCUUCUCUUUAGAGUG